CUUUAAAAUUUGAAGUUUUUUAUAUUAUACAUAGCCAUACAUUUAUUUUUCAUAGAGAGCUUUUCAUUAUUAUUCCACUGUAAAAACAACUAGAGAUCCAAGUAUUGUCAUCCUUAGAGACCUGAUAGAUGUACUUCUAAAUGUCUUUAUGUUCUGUUUGAUAUAUAUAGAAAUACUGAUGAUUUCCUAUGCUAAAUAUCAUUUUUGAAAAGUCAAUCUGAAGUCAUGAUCCAUUCCUUGUGUGUUAUAUAUCCCCCCCAAAAGAUUGUGUAAAUGCUGCUUGAUUUUACUGAUGACACCCAAGCCACAUAGAGGAAAUCACCUCACUCUUACAUAGCUGAGUUUGCAAAACUAACAAGCAGUGUCUAUAUUAAGCAUAAGUGAGUACACAUGUGCAUCUUUUAGUAUGUACUCACAUGUUUUUCUUAGUCACUUUUCUGAUUGCCGUUUUAUUUUUUUUUAAUGUAGUAAUGUCAUUAGAAUGUAAAGUUUAAAUACGGGUUUUAAAUACAUUUAGAUUUUAUAACAUGCUAGAAUCUAGUGGGCAUUUAUCAGAACUGUCCUAUGGCUGAUAUCCCCACAACCCAAAUUAUCUUCACCUACUACAGUGUUCCCACCAGCUAUGCAAAGGUGAACAAAUUAUGAAUAUAACUAAGACAUAUCUACUAUGAUUUUUUGUCUUCUUUAGAAAAUAUAAUAAAAAUUAAAAUACUCUCUUACUUUUGCUUCCUACCUGAAGGAACCCCUCCUUUACAAUUCUCUUCAAAGUGCACAGAUUCUCCAUAUAACAAAAACAGCUUUCACUGAGCCUUCAUCUCGUUUUCUCCAGCAACAAUGUUGAUCCCCUGUCUAAUGUUUUUAAAUAAACAAUCAAAUAGUAUAACUGAAAGCCAAACUGAGAGAGAUGCUUCUUUACCAUUAGCAUUGAGCCCAUAUCCUGCAUGCUGCUGCUCACUGCUUCAGUGCACCACUUCUCUGUUGGUGUAUGUCUGACAUUAAUUUGCAUCGUUAUUUGAAGGUGAAGGUGGAUGUUUCCUUCAUACAAGUACUAUUAAAUUGGAGAAGCAAAAGGACACUGAAAUUUAAAUUUUAAAUGUCAGGCUCUGAAUUGCACUUUAGAGAUUGUCAAGUCUGUAUAUUGCUCGCAGAAGCUGGUCGAUGGUAACUUUGUAUCUUCUUUGUAGACUUAAUCACCAUCACUUCUGGUCCAGUGUCUUUACAGCUCCUGAGCAGACACUGCUACUUCAGUCAAUGGCAGCUAUGGACACUCAGCACUCCUGACAGAAACAGCCCAUUCAAAUUAAGCAGAUUGGGUUUAAUAUUUCCAUUUACUGAAUUGAAAAUCAGAAGACUAGGAAUUAAGUAAUAUUUGUCUAUAAGGUACAGGCACCCAAGAUCUAGAGCAAAACCAGCUUUGCCAGGUCGUGAUUAGAGCAGAUAGUAGCUCCAAUGCUUGAAAUUUUAGGACUAUCAUACUAUACAAAUGUUGGGUGGUUUUUUUUUAAAAAGGUAAGUUUGUAUUCUUAAUAUUUUAGAGAAAUGGUAUCCUAAUGGAAUUCAAAUACUAGAAAAUAAUGAGGAAGAAGAAAAAUGUGAAAACAUCACAGAAAUGUUUAUAAUAUUUAAUUCAUUUAAAUUAAAUACAGUUUAAACCAUGUCUGACUUGUCUGUAAAGUCUAACCUGUUGACAUUUGUCUUUAAUCAUUUACUUUAUACAGGAUUUUAAUAUAGCAUAUCCCUCUUCAGUCUUUCUUAUGACAAUAUGUGAAUCUUUUAUUCAGCUAGAGCGUGAAGCUACUAGAAGACUCCACAUGUCUAGUUGUAACACUAGAACUGGCCAAACUGAAAAGUGGGUAUAUAAUUUGAAAAUAUUUAAACAAAUGAAAUUGAUAAUAUUCCUUUAAAUGUAUAUUGCAUUUUAGAGCCUGAAUAUAGCAUUACUUAGAUUUUAUAGCAAAUUUAUCUCUACAUACUUCAUGUUGAAUCUUCUGAGGGUUAGGGCAGCUCAAUCUUUAUGACCUAGAAGGAGUAAAAAGCAAGUAUGUAUGUUUCUGUAUGUAAUGUGCAGUUCUGAUCUAAAACAACUUUAACACUGUAGAAUUCUGUAUUUGAUACGUGAACAAGAAGAUUACUUGCAAUUUUUAAGGUUUUGUUUUGCCUUUUCAGGGUUUUUUAAGAUGAUCAUGCAAAUAAUCAUGAUUGUUAAGGGACAUCCUAAAUGACACCUAUGCAUGAUACCUAUGUAACUCUGUGAGACUUCUUGAAUUAUAUUAGCAAAAGUCAAACCGAUUGAAACAGAGUAAACAAAGCUAUAGAUUAUGCAAGAGAAAGAAUCUGUCUUCUACUGUUUAUAGGCUGAGCAAAUGUAAAAGCAGUAUAAAAGCAAGCAGAUUUCACCCCAAAUAUAUACUGGGCUAUUCUACUUCCAGGCAUUAUUUAUUUCUGAAGAGUGACCUGACAGUCUUGUGCAACAUUUCUGUAGCAUUCGAAAAGAGAUCCAGUAACUUCUGUGAUGAUUAAUGGCUGAAUAUUUUGUACACUUAUUAACUGUUCUGACAAGCUCAGCUAAAAAAGAGAGAGAGAGCACACACAAACUGGGUAAUAGUUUCUUGUGCAGGCUUGUUUAUUAGCAUCCAUUUAAGAGAGCCAGUUGGUUACUUAUGCAACCUCAGCUCAGGUUGCACAGGUGUCACCAAGGACAUCACUUUUAAAAAACGGGAUUACACAACUGUGAUGAGGACAUUGUUUGGCAGGGAGAACUUUUGUUACAGGAAGUGAGACAUGAGCAAGAAAUAAUGCUGGGUGACUACAGGAGCCAAGGUUGGGUUUGUGGGCCUGGCAAUUUUUGGGGAAACCCCCCUCCCUAAAUUCCCCCCCCCGCCCCCCCAAAAAAACCCCAAACUCUCUACAUGACUACGUAAAGCAUAUCUGGUGUCAGAACCAAGGCACAACAAAUAUGGAUUCUUUUUCAUACUGUUUUUACAGUAAUUUUUCAGAGCAAAGCUAUACUUUGAACCAUACCUUAAGCCUUUAUGCAACAACUUAAGUUUUGCUACUUCUUUAUAGACAUCAGAUUAUUUAAUCACUUAAGGUUGAAAACAAAUACUUUUAGGAUUUAUUAAUGCAAAUGGAAUGGGUUAAUCCACCAAUUUUUUAAUCCUUCAAAUCACCAACAGAAAUUGUAACUUUUGUUUACAUAUAUAAAAUACACAUACAUGCAAUGUGUAUAAACCAGAACAUAAUGUACUAAAAAAUAUUAAAACUAGGCUAAAUGGAAUCUGAAACAGGUUGCAGUGUCUAAUGACAAGCAAUUAUUUAAAUAACCAUUUCAUGCUGUUAGGUUACUCCUUCACCAAAGAUGUCACAGUAUUCUCCUAACUCUCUGUGUCUGCUUUACUUCAAAACCUUUGAGAAGGAAUUUAAAUAGUCACCAGACAAGCAUAACUAAGAUGUGUGCUGACUUUUCAAGCUUUGCCUGUUUCCUGGGGGAAAUACUACAGUUCUCAAAUCCUAGUAAGCAAGACAGCCACGUUCAUUGUUAGAACAACCAGUUCUGCAUCUGCUUUUAUCUACUUUUGUAUGUUAUGGAGAAGACAUUUGGCUGGGUUGCUUGUAAAAGAUGGUACCAGACAUAACCAGUAGGAUGAUAACUGCUAUCUAAACAUAAAAAUAUGGGUUGAUACAACUAAAAUUUAGUUGCUUGAAACUACAUAAUAGUUGUUGUGUUCCUCAUAAUUUGUCAUUGAUAAGUGUAGAAGUAAUGUCUGGAGUAUAACCUAGAACAGCAAAAAGGUGGCUUCCUAUUUGUAUGUUGUUACUGGUAAAACAUGCACACCUUUUCCUCAAAACAAACAAACAAAAAGUCCCAGGAAAAAAAAAAAGAAACUUUCAUGCUGGAUGAGGAAAAGCAGUGAAAAUGCUUAUUUCAAAUUAGCUAUUUGAGGGUUGCACUUGUUCGUAUUUGUCAGAUUUAAAGGAGUAGCCUCCGGAAAGGCUACUAGGAGAUGUUUUGUAAAAAGUUACCCCAGAAAUUAUUGAGAUCAAGAAAAAAGUUGUAAGGAAGACAUUGAACUGAAACUCAUCUGAGCUGUUCUUAGAUGCAGUUAUUUUGCUUACUGGCUCUAUUUCUGGGCAACUUAAUAUAAGAUGAAAGGACAAAACUGAAUUAAACUAUUUUACAUCUGCCCUUGACCAUGCUAGGUUAAGAUGAGAAAUGUGAGAGUUUCACUUGGAGAUUUUGUAAAAAUUCCAGAAGCUUUUAAUUUGAAAUCAUUCCCUUGAUAAUGACAAGUAAAAGUUCAGAGCCCCACAUACAGCCUGGAAAGUAACACGAGCAGCUCACUCAGCUGCUCUGAUGCCAGCCCACGACUGGCACGGUGCUAAGUCUGUAGAAGGUCAGCAGUCGGUGGGAGGCACCGUGGGCUGCCAGGUGCCCCAGCCGUGAGCGUGAGGCUGAGGGUGCAUUGCAGCUCUUACUGGCCGGUCACCUGGGAAGCAGCUGCUCCCCACCCUAAGCCAGGCAGCUGGCCGAAACCCAGGACUGAGAACUCCUCGGUUUAGCACAGAGAAGACAAAGGGGUGGAGUUUGCAGGGGUAUGGUAAAGGUAAGAAGAGGGAGAAGUAGGUGCAAAAGUCUGAGCUGUUAUCCCUGAUCAGCUGAUGAAAGCUGCUGCUGUUUGCAGCCUCUCGCUGGCAUCGAGUAGGCUCUUGCUGCAGGUGGCUAUAAUUAAAGCGCCUGGAAGGUCAGAAUCACAAAGAUUUGAAGGUUAUUACACCGGUGUACUGAAGACCUGAUACUUGUAUCCUUAACAUUAGGCAGUAGCACUGCCCUCAUUUGUCAAUACUGUGCUGUUACCUCUACAGUGAUGCCAUUUUCUGAUCCUCUGUGUCUUCUGUAUUUGCAUUGUGAGGUCUGAUUUUGAGUUCCAUGUUUCAAAUUCUGUUAAUAGUUUAUAUUUUCAGUAUUUAUACUUUGCCCGAUUUCCAAGUAUGUCAACAAACAAAAAUAUACUGAAGUACUUAAAAUAGAAGUCAGAAGAUGAUGUUAAAAAGCAAACAAUUCUUGGUUUUGAUUUAAAAACUAGAAAUAUUUUCUAUGUUAACUAAUGUACUUCAUAAGUUUCUCAUUCUUAAAGGAAGCGUUUCAUUUCAGUAAGCAAGCCUUUUAAGUGUAUUCAGUAUUUACGUUUUCCUCCUUCCCCUCCUGCAAAUCUUCUCUGGAAACAUUGGAGGCAAACCUCAGUUUUCUGUGCUUUCGGUAUUUCUAUCUUUGAGCAGCCUUCGCCUUUAAGCAGUCCUAGUGUUAACAAAACAACAAAAUUCUUCCACUGCAGCAAAAAUGAAAUCAGUUUCACUAACUAGAAGUAAAAUUACUAGUUGUCAUUAAUGCAGUUUAUUUCAUAGGAGUUAAAUUUCUUGUCUGCAGUGGUAAUCUCAAAUAAGCAUGAGGGAACUCUCUCCCCCUUCAUUAUUUCCUUUGCACCAUAUAACAAAGCUUUUGACUUGAUCCUUUCUGCUUUUGUCUUCUUAGGGCGUCUCUGCAUGAAUGAUGCAACUGGAUUUAUUUAUUUGUAAAUCAGUGCUAAAAAAAGACAAAACUGCACUCAAAAAGUGCAAAUCUUCCAACUUAAAAUGCAGAAAUUUUAUUUGCUUUUGGACAAAGAGUGAUUUGCAGGCCGUUUCUGUACCUGUCUCUCUGCUCUGGAUUGUGUUUGCAGUCUACCACCUAUCUGUUCUUUUUGCUCUGAGGCUUGUGUUGAGCAACCACUGUGUUUACCUGUAUGAUGUCUGCUUUUCCAGUUUUGGUUUUGGAGGCUAGGUAUUCCCCCUGAAGCAGCAAUUUCUCCUUUGAACUUCAGAGAAGUACCACCUUGAUUCUGAAGUAUUUCAGGCUUCUUAGGUAAGAGGAGUCACUUCCAAAACUUCUCGAUAGCUUCAUGGCUGGUUUGCAGGCUGUAAAGUGAUGGCAACAAGAGAAUGUUUUGUAAGUACGUACUCUAGAUUACCAACACCACAGAAGCUAAAGCAGCCUCAUUCACGGUGGUUUGUUAUUUCAUAAUAGUCCACAGUUACCUCCCUAUACCUAACCUUCCUGUGUGGCUCCCUGCUUGAGCACAUGCUCAAUGGACAACACCAGAAGACCCCAAGCCCCACAUGGCUUGUGGGUAGUAUAUUACCCACUGAGACUUUCUGACGUUGUUCAUAGCUAUAAGAAAUUAAAAGGUUGUAACAGAGAUUGGCAAGAAAAAAAUUUGAUCUUACCUGCAGUAUGGUGCUUGCUUACUAUUGUCCCUAAUGGACUAGCAAAAGUUUGGACUACUAAAGAAUUAAAUAUCUAGAAAAAUAUUUUGAAUAAUAAAUUUAAUGAAUGUAUGAACCUUCGUAUUGUGCUUAAUUAGAUUAACUUAAAUUAAUUUUUAGUACAUGGAGGAAGAGGAGAAAAUACUGCAUGAAACAUUUUUAGUGCAAACUGUUAGAGUACGCUUUGAACUGGAAUUAUGUAAUAGCAUGAUGGUGGUUAAUGCAUUAUGACAGCAAGUGAAGUGUUAUCUUUCUUACAGUAUCUGAACAGAGCCAAAAGGAAGUUAUGCCUUCCUUCUGACUAUUUGCGUGCAUAUUUAUAGUAUAAUUAUGAAAUUUUAACUGUCUGUAACACUUUUUCUGACCAUAAUGGGCUUUUUCCUCUUGUCUUCUCUCAGUGUCCUAACUGCAAGAUUAUCCUGGUGCUUUGGAUUGUAGCAGUUUAUAUUGAAGAAUGAGUUGAACAGAGGUCUAGGGAGCUAUAUGAUGUAGAAAUAACAUUUCUUGCUCUUUUGGAUAGUUACAGGGAUGAACUGAAUAAGGUGUUACUCCAAAUGAAGUUGCAGGUGCCGGAGGACAAGUUGAGAUCAGCUUAGUUUUUAUUGAUAUAAUAGUUUGAGCUCAUAUUGCAUUUACUAUAAAUUGAACUGUAUAAUUGCAACCCUUAGGUUUAACACCCCCUCCCCUUUCAGAGCCACAGGAAGUCCAGGUGGUUUGAAGCAAAUGACCAGAGGAAGUACUUGUGUGAAGACUUGUCACUGUUUUGUGGUGAUAGGGGUUUUUUUUAAGCAUUUUUUCCCUCUGUAAAUGUAACAUUGUAAUACUUCAAUUACAGGUAUCAGAGUUUAUUUUGGAUAGUUGAAAAACUGGUAUUUUGCCAUUUAGAAGGUAACUGAUCCAUUUUAAUAGAUACACUCAUCAAUAAGGAAUAUUUUAUAUUAAAAAUUCAAUGAGUAUUUCAUAUUAUGAAUUCAAUAAGGAAUAUUUUAUAUUAGAAAAUGAAGAAAGUAUAUUUUAUAUUAAUAAUUAAACAUAACUAUGCUGUGAGCUGUACCUUGUAUUUGUUAAGCCAAACCCAAUGUCUGUGGCCUUUUUGAAAUAAGCAGGGAAAAACUUGAUGUGUGUGAGACAGGAGUGUGGAAUCAAAGUGACAAAAUAAGGUGAGCAAAGUCUGACAGAGAACAAUUUGAUGAUUAGAAUUUGAGUUUAAUUUGAAAUAGUGCAUGUUAACGGAUGAAGAUGCAAAAUCACAUAGUGGGAGCAUUCUGAGCAGUUUGGUAAUUGCUUCCUUUUAAAUAAUAGUUUUGUCAAGUUAGAGAAGUGCUUCAUAUCUCAAGAUUCUGCAUUGGCAGUAUUUCUUUGCAGACAAGGGGGAUAAUAAAAGAGGAAGCAUGUCAGCAUGUCAUCCUUACAUACAGGUGAGCUCCUAAAGACGUGAAGUAGCAUGAGAAUACAAGGGGAGCAUCUCUUUUCAUUAUGUGUGUACGCAGUUAAGUAAGGAUGUCUUCUAGACCACAGGGUUAAAAAUAUUUUAAAUGAUAAAUCUGGGAACAGUAUCAAAUAUUCCAUGUUUCAAUCCCAUAUCCACCACUAAGUGGCUGUGCAGUAUCUUGAGUUUUCCAGAACUCACUUUACUUGCCUGUAAAAUGACUUGUGUUUAUUUUAUGGGCAUACCAUCAGAGCUACCAUGCAUUUGCUUCUAAAGCACUUCAAGAAAGCCAGAUAUCAUGUAUGCAAAUCAAUACUGAAUACUAACUCUGCCCCUGUAGUAGUUCAGCAGAGGUGAUGAAGUGUUUGCUAUUUUCAACUGAAAGGUAAGUUACUCUUCUUUAUGAAGUGCCCUAUGGGCCUGUCAUUGAGAAGUAGGUCAGACAUGAAAGGAAUUUCAGGCCUAAAGCCCUCAGUCUCUUCAACCAGAUAUUCCACCCUACUCAGUGGGUGGCAAAGCUUGUAGUAAAUCCUGGGAGCUAGAAAAAGGAGUUAAGGAGGCUGAGAAACACUUCCCUCCAAAACAUUUGAAAAGUAAGAGUAGUAGGGAAUUUAGAGUAUGACAGUACUCAAGCUACAAUAUAGCAGUAUCAGGACAUUAUCUUAAAUGCUGACAAAUUCCUAAUCUGCAAUUGGUUGAGUGUUUUUAGAGAUCUGUUACCUUCAUAACCUUCAUAUGUCCUGAAUUCAAGCAAUAAUUGAUAGAUCUAGCUACAUAAAACUAUUGUCUUUGUGCUUUUGUGUGUAAUGGCUUUGUGUAAUCACAGUACAAAAAUGUGUAUUUGUUCUGUUUUGUAGAUUCUAGAAACUGGGAUGCAGGGAAGUAGUAUAAUUAUUCCUGAAUCACUGUUUUCUGUAUUCUGCAUCCGUCAGUUUCAUAAAUUUGAUUCUGUAGAAGGACAGUGAAUGUUUUCCUUAAUGACCUAUCAAAUUAUACAGUAUUGUAAUUGGGAAAAAAACCUUCAUGGUUCUCCUUGAAACAGUUGCUUACCUUGAUAGUUGCAAAUAUGAUUCAGUACACUUUAAGAAUCUGUCAUGGUAUGAUUCAGUGAUUUUCCCCAGCAGUGAAUUCUGCUGGGUGUAGCAUCUCCAGUGAUGUGGUUUUAGAUGUUCUGCACUUUAGCUAAAGGGAUCACACAAAUGAAAUUAGUUUUUUUAGCUCUUCCCAACUGAGUAACCUCAGUGUCUCAAGAUCUUUGCAUAUAUUCUUAGCCCUGCUGAUUAGAAAUGAUUAAGCAAAAUAAUUUGCUGUUUCUUAACAACAGUGCUUAAGGUGAAAAUACUGUCUUAGAAUCAGAAAAAUCCCAGCAGGGACAUAACUGUGCCUUAGGAAUAUGUAUCUCAGUAUUCUUAAGAAGCCUCUAUGUCAGUAGUCAUUCCUUUGACCUUUCUAUCAGCAGUUGGGCAAGCAAACUGGAAUACUAACCAUGUGUUUGCAGGAAAUUGGGUAGCAUCACUCUUCUUGAUUAAAAUACCAAUAGAAGCACUGAGGUGCAAAAUAGCUUGCCCAGGGUGGGUGACCAGGGCACUGGGAGAUCUGGGAAUAGAAUGCAGGUCUCCUUGAAACCAGCCCACUCCUCUGCCAUGAAGAAGCUCUGCCUUCAGGAGCAAGUUAUUUUCUCUUUUUAGAUACAAGAUCCCUGCUCUUAUAGAUUUGUUGAGGGGGGGGCUGGGGUGGGGUGGUGUUGUGUUUUUUUUUUUUUUAUAUUGUGAUUACAGAAAUAAGAAUGAAAGUACUCAAGUGAGAGUCUGCUGCUAGCUAAUUUAAAGUCAAACUCGUGACUAGCAUCAUUGUUGAUACAAAGGAUCUGCUGUUUCAUAGCAUCAUUGGCUCCAUUUUUGUGGUAUCCAGAGCUUUUAAAGUACAAUUAAAGUAAAGUGGAAGUUAGGAGAAAGGUUUUGACACUCUAGACAAAGCAGAAAGGAAAUGCCACUUAACAAGGUAUUGAUAAAAUGACAGAUUUUUGUUUUAGGAAGGUAAGACUCUUGCAGGAUCAAAUCCCGUCACUUGCUUUUAAAUCUUUCCAUGCCUUAUAUUCCCAUUCACAAAAAGAUGGCUCAUGGUCUUUCAGCUGACCAAAUCCAAAUAAUUUCCUCCUCCUGCGGUCCAAACUAGUGAGCCAGUUUACUGCAGUGGUUCUUAGUAGACCUUAGCCUAAGCUUGCACUUUGUACUUCUGUGAAGAGAGGUGUGUGGCAUGGAAUGUGAUCUCCUAACAACUUUCCCACUAGAGCAGAGAGGUUCCUUUCCCUCCCAAGGUGCAGAGCAGCAAUGCCUGCCAGCUUUUCUUCACUCUAAAGUGAGUUAAUUCCUCUUGUCUUGUCAGCUUGAACAACUGCAGCCUUUAGGCUACCUUUCAGCUUUCUCCGACAGUGCCCUUUCUCUUUUCAUAGCCUUGUGCAUUUGAACAGAGUUUUCCCUCAAGUCACUCACUAUCUUUAUGCAGAUGGCUAUUAACCUUUUUGUUCAGUUUUACCUUCACUGAGAUCAGACCAAUAUCUGGGCACCACAGGUGAAUAUAUGAAUACACAAAUAAACAGCAAAUAGACUGUUUGGUAAGCAACCACGGAAGUCAGCCAUGUGGUAAAGAAAUUUAAUAUUUGAUAUCCAGCAAGUUACUUAGAGCAGCCUGUACUUUGUACACAGAAGGAUUAUACAGCUGAUGUAGAAACUUUGGUUUUUGUCAGUUCCCUGAUCUGAAUGUUUUUAAACUCUCAUCCCACUGUUGGUAUAGUUUUGCAUUUAUAAUACUGACAAUGACUCUGUAGAGGCAGUUAUAAGCUUCUAGAACACUGUCAUCUGGUGGUGGUUUUAAGUCACAACAUUUGGACAUAAAAGUAAAAAUGGCAAUCAAAUCAGGCUAGACAAAUGCUCUGAUUAUCCAUUUUAUUCAUAUUAAUGAAUAAAUAAUUUUUAAAAAAUAAAUUAAUAAUUAAAAAAAAUUUCGGUUUCUAAUCACAGCACUAUAAAGGAUUUACUUUUCACAACUAUUUCUCCUUAUCCCAUGGGGUGCAGGUACAAUAAGUUGUCAGUUUUCACUGCACUAUCAGAUAAGGUGCUGUCGUUUGUAACCUUUGUGCUGAAGUAAAGAUCAAAAUACUUCCUAACUGAAACUGAUUGCCUGUGCAUUUAUGUAUGGUACACUCUCUGACUGCUUUAACAUCAACAUUAGUAUUUUGAAUUUUAUGGGUAGGAGUAAAAACUACAAUUACUACCAAAUGCAACAUUCCAUAAACUGUCUAUAAAAACAGUGGUGUGUAUAUAAGCUCUGGACAGUAGCUCCUGUUACAUGAUUAGUGCUGCCUUCUGCUUAGGUUUGUUUACUCUAUCACCAGUUCAUGUUCAUUUAUUUUUGAAGUAAAUCCCUCAAUAUCAAAUAUUAUCUAGUAGGAAUAAUAAGAAUAUUUUGUAUUGGUCAUUAUUUUAACAGCACGAUGAUGAUGUAAAGAAAAAUUCAAACAUGGCAAACCUCCUUUCCAAACAAAAUAUGAACCAACAUUAAAAAGUUAUCAGGAAUGCUA